rnacentral:lncRNA from 1 species
UCAAUAGCACAUUGCCAAGAGUUGGAUGCAGAAAAGGGAAUAAUCUGUGACCAGCUUUAUCGUAUACCAUCUUUACCGCCUUCCAAACAUGUCAGAUAUAUUCAUACAUGUGUUUGUACUGUUCCCAUCACCUGACAUGAAUUAUCAACCUCCUUCUGUCCUGGAAAAUCUUAUUUCUUGUACUUCAAGGUUCUAAUCAAAUGUAACAUUCCCUGGCAUCUUACCAAUUAAUUAUAUCCUCAUACAUUUCCAUGAUCCCUUGUAUAAGCAUCUACUAUAGCAUUCAGUGAACUGUAUUAUCGUCAUUUAUAAUGUCCCCCUAAUAGACUGUCUUUGUACCAACCAUCCACACAGUACCUUGCAAGGAAUAGGCACUCAAUAAAUAUGUACUAAAUUGAAUUUAAUUGAAAACAAAGAUUAAAAUCUUCUUCAAAUAAGACUACAUUUAAAAGACUUAAGGUGGGAGUUCCCAUUGUGGGCAGCGAAAACAAAUCCAACUAGGAACCAUGAGGUUGUGCGUUCGAUCCUGGCUUCUCUCAGUGGGUUAAGGAUCUGGCAUUGCUGUGAGCUGUGGUGUAGGUUGCAGAUGGGGCUCAGAUCCUGCGUUGCUGUGGCUGUGAGACAGGCCAGCGGCUGCAGCUCCAAUUCAACUCCUAGCCUGGGAACGUCCAUACGCCACCAGUGCAGCCCUAAAAAAGACAAAAAUACACACACAAAAAAAAAUAAAUAAAUAAAGAGAGAGAGACUUAAAGUAUAACUAUACAAAACUGAACUUUUAAGUUAGAAGGAUUAAUUAGACCCACCUCAUCACAUUUGAAGGGCACUAGAGCAAUGCUCCCAGCCAAAAGCAUUUUUCCUGUGGGGCUCAUACAAAGCUUGAACUUCCAGCACAGAUUAUUCUAGGUUCUAAAAUGUUUUGCUAUAGUGCAAAGAGCAUAGGCUCUGGAGUCUAAAACACUAGGACUCAAAAUUUGGCUAUUUAUGUGAUCUUAACAACUUACUCAAUAUGUUUCUCUGCAACACUCUUGUACAUCCAUACAUAGUUAUUCGUGUUGUAAUAAUACAUGUGAAACACCCGCACAGUAUUUCCCAUACACCUAAUACACAUCAAACCCCAGAGUCCUACUAAAAAGCAAAAGGCCUGUGAUGGAGUAACCCCAAGCCUUUAUCAUUAAUAUCAUCCUCCUCAUCUUUGAGGAGAUGAGGAGGGGAAAUGAUAAGAACAGUGUGGAAGUAAAGGAAGGAGUGAGAGUUAAACAAUUUUGCAAUUUUACGAGAGCCAGUCUUGCAGCUAGUAAUUACCCAGUUAUAUCAGUUUUCCAGGACCCCAUCAGGAACAAAAGCUCCCCCAAGGGUAUACAGUGAAUAUAUCUGGUGAUACAGAACUUAAGAAUCUCUGCAUAAUUUUUCUUGGCAUCAGUCUGAAAUCAACAUUUAUUCCCAUAUACUUGGACAAGACUCCUGGGGAGAGAGUUAAGGAAGAAAAGUUGUUUAAAAUGACAUCAUACUAAUCUUUUUAACUUCCUCACUUUUUGCCCUUUUACAUUUAAAAGAGGUAGUUGUGGUAAACAAGUUUUUUUUCUCCCUAAGAAAAUAAUUUUGAAGUGGAAAAAAAAAUGAAAAGCACAUUACAAACAUAACAUUCUAAACUUGACUUCUAAAGAAAAUGUUAUCAUUGAAAUCAAUAUAAAGUGAGUUUAGACACAGUGAAGUCCUAUUUCAAAGUUAAGCCAAAUUUAAUACAUUUUAAUAAAAUCUUUAAACUUCCAAAAUCCAAGUAGGAACUUGACUCCUAUUAGAAGUCUCAACAGUUGCCCUCCGGAGGCUGCUCUCACAUCGCAGCGGCAGCUCUGGAAUACUUCUGCAUUAGAUCUGCACUACAUCAACCUACACUUGUUGAUAUCAGCCCUAAAAUGAAUCUUCAUUUUUCUGUACUCUUUUUUCUUCACUCUGGGGUCUUCAUUUUUCUGUACUCUUUCACUCUAGCUUCACUGUAAACUUCCUGGUACCCAAGUUUCUCCUAGGGUACCCUACCUUUCCCCAAUCCCAGCACAUAGAUUGGAUUCAAUAAAUGUUAAUGUGGGAGUUCCUGUUGUAGCUCAGUGGAUUAAGAACCCAACUAGUAUCCAUGAGGAUGCGGGUUUGAUCCCUGGCCUCGAUCAGUGGGUUGAAGAUUUAGCAUUACCACAAGCUGCAGGGUAGGUUGCAAGUGCAGCUCGGAUCCCUUGUUGCUCUGGCUAUGGUGUAGGCCGACAGCUAUAGCUCCGAUUUGACCCCUAGCCUGGGAACUUCCAUAUGCUGCAGGUGCAGCCAUGAAAGAAAAUAAAUAAAUAAAUAAAUAAACAUUAAUGUAUGUCUGACAAGGAAAUGUAUAAGUAGUACUUGCUGAUGGUAAAUUCCAUGAUCCAUUCAAGUUUAGAUCAAGACCUCUAGAGACCCUAAGAACAGGAAAAUUAUGGUGCCCCACAACACAUAUAUCAAAACAAAAUACUACUUAAAACAGAAAGUAUAAACUUUCAUAUAUGCUGGAAUUAAAAUAACUUCUGCUGACAAAAUUUUAGGUAAGCCAUCCAAAAGCUGAACUCCUUUCUCCUCCCCAUUGUGAGGAGAGAGGCGGGUGGAGGGAGAGAAAGCACUCUAGCAAGCUUGAGUCUCUGACUUCCUGGUGCUUAGUGUGCUACAGAACACUCCAACUCUUGGUCCACUUUAUAAAAUUAUGUCAGAAUAUUAAUUAUGGGUAUAUAUGGCUACAGAGUUAGAAAAAGGAAUCAAAUAAUUGCCUAAAUCCAUAUUCAUACUCAAUUCUCUCUUGCAAGUAUCCAGAUUCUAUUGCAAAUAUGUAGCAAAACAGCUUUACAUAAAAUAAAUAGAAACAAAGAAACAUACUGCUUUGCCCCCUGGUACAACUGUACUGUAGGUGUGUACAGAAAAGGAGGUACAAUAAAUGAUUAUCAGCAAGCUCAAGUUCUUUGCAUUUUAUUUCAUUAGACUCCAACAUUUGAUAAAAGCAACAAUCACCAAAUUAUAUAUGAAUAAACCUUCCAUAAAUAACGUUUUCACAGCCAUCACAAAGUCUAGAAUGCAGAUGCUAAUUAGAGCCAAAAUCACCAGUUUUUUAAAAUUAUGUAAUUAAAACUAAGGUAUUUUCAUUUAUAAUGUGAUUCUCAUAUUCAUAGUAACAGAUAUUGGUUAAUAUUUCCAUUACAUUUGAAUAGUCUGAGCCUGAAAAUAAUUGUUUCAGCUGAACUGUUUCCAUUUUUAUAUUACAAAAUCUGAAUGUGUUUUAUAUUAUAAAAUCUGAAUGAGUUGAAUACUUUACUUUGACAUAACCAAGUAGACCCUUCCUUAUAGUUAGAAAUAUACUUAGGGUGAGAUUUCUUGUGGUGCAAUGGGUUAAGGAUCUGACUUUGCCACAGCUGUGCCACAGGUCGCAGCUGCACCUCAGAUUCCAGGAACUUCCAUAUGCUGUGGGUGGGGCCAAAAAGAAAAAGAGAAACAUUUCCCUCGGUGGCUUUGGUCUAGGAAUAGAUGGUUAUUAUGUCCAUUAAAUAGGAAAGAUUAUAUGAACAAAUAAUAUCAUAGCUCUGUGGAAUGACUAAUGGUCUUUGCAAAGGCCUAGACUGGUUGCAUCUUUCUUGACAUUUUAUCACUGAUUUGUACUUAGUAAUGUGUAGUCAGUAAGGCCAGCAGAGGUAACACAUGUUUGAUAUAUGAAACUUGAGUCACUUUUGUCAGACUGCAUUUAUUUUAAGCUAUACACAUACCUCGUACUCUUACAUGCAUAUAUUCUUGGGCUUUAGUUUUUUCUUGUUUCCAGUGAAGGGUCUAAUAGAUAUGACAAUUAUAAUAACACUACCUUCAAAAGCUCUGCAAAAAACAAUAUAUAUCCAUUUCCUUGCAAGGGAUGCACUUCCAUUGCAGAUUAAACAAAUGACUAUAGAGCAAGCACCUUAAUAAAAGGACUUAGCCUUUGUUUGUUGCCGUAUUUGCACAGCUUACAACUAUCUCUUACCUUUUAGCAUAUAUUAUCCACUUCAAUUCAAUACAUUCUUUACAAUCUGCAGCAAGCCACAGAAAUUCUCUUUUAGUUGAAAGGAAAUUUCAAGGGAGGAGGGGUGUGGAAAAACAUUUAAUUUAUCCUAUUGAAAAGGAACCAUUCUAGAUGGUUUCUGAGCACUUUUGCAUUUUCUUACACACUGCAAAUCAGCUCAGAUAUCUUAAUCAGUGGCUAGAAACAUAUCCUUAUCAGUAACAUAUUCAUGAAAGAUGGUAUGUGUAUGAGCAGCAAAAUGUUUGGCAGAGACCCAGGAAUAAAAAAGAAAGAAAGAAUAUGGUAAAGAGUUGAUGGAAUAGCUUUGUGUUUCAACCCUAUUCAUUUGGGGAAUUUUCUAUCAUCUCUGUUUGUUCUGUAUGGAAGGAUAAUUGACAAACCCACAGAAUGUCAGAUUUCUAUGACUUGAUUUCAUCUAUAUAUAGAUAUAUUUACUGUACAGUGAUCCAGGAUGGAAGCAUAUCUAUACAUAGUAGUGUAUAAAAGAACAUAUAUACACUCUCAUGUCUUUCUAAAUUUUCCUGUUCAUGGUAUUAUCUUAUGCAAAGUUUAUUGCUUUUCUGUUUUGACAAUCUAAGCACUGUCUAAAUAUUAUUUCACAAAAUCAAAGAGUAGUUCCUGACAAUUAAUUUCUGCAGUCAAUGGUCUACUCAAACUGGGCAACUCCCCUCGGAACUUAGAAGCCACAACAGCAGACUGUGUGCGUGGAAGAGCAAGACAAUUCAUUAGCCGAUUCUGCAGCAACUCAAAGCGGCGGGGGAUGUCAGCCCCUGCUCUGGUGCUUCAAUACUAAUGAGAGUCAUUGCAUAUUCAUAACCUCAAAUACAGUCAGCUUCUUGUAAAAACUUUUGUCACCCAGGCUUCAUGGCAAGAGCAGAGCACUGCACAAUUCGUGUCAUGGCACUUCCGCCAAGUGAGUGCAAGACCAAGAUUGAUUGUUUUGCAACGCAGCCUGACACAGAACUAAAAGAUGCUGCCCCAAGGGUCCUAAAACUCUGCUUAGUUUGAUAGUGAAGCCCCAAAUAAUCAAAGAAACAAAAAGGAGGCAGCAGCAAUGAAUAUGUUUGUCGAUAUAUACAUAUACCAUCAUAUACACCAUACAUAAAAAAUAUAUAAAAGAAUACUUCGAACAAGGAAUUUGGUUUAUUCUGUGCUCAGAUUAAUUAUCUGUUAGGAAUGUAAUACCAACUACACAAUUCUUUUGUUGAAAGAAGCGUGUACCCCAGUAAACUUGUUAUCAAGUUGCAAAAACACUACAGCAAAGCUUAAUAGAAACAGAUUUCUAAAAUUGUCUGAAGUUUCCCGUCAUUAUCAAUACCAAAGCUUCAUGAACUGAACCUGUCAGCUCUGCCAAAGCUAGAGCUAUCUGGAAUCCAAUUCCUCAGGCAGCUUUUUGUGCUAUUGUCACUGCCUCCCUUGCUUUAUCAUCAUCAUCAUUAUGAUUGGUUUCCAGAAGUGAGCUGUUCAGUGUGCUUACCAGGAAAUCCUAAGGGCCCCAUUUGACCCCAAAAUACCUAUAUGUUUGGGGUAGCUAGCAGCAUUCCCCAGAGUCAGAGAAAGGAAAUGUGUGCUUCAGCACCCACUUUGAAAAAGCCUUGAGCAUUUUUUCACUCAUAAUGAUGUCUUCAGCUGGAAUGCCAGCACACUUCCACAUUUUUCUGACAGGCAUAUAGUAUAUAAACUAUCCGUAAAAAUUAAAUAAAACAGGACAGCGAAAGAAAAGUUUCUAAAUUUGAUCACAUUUGAGUUGUUAAAAGUUAUUUCCAGAUAUAUCAUGUGUAUAAAUAUCUGCAUAGCUAAAGACAAAUCAGGAAUAUUGGGAGGACGGUGGGGGAUAGAUGAUGAGGUGUUGUCGGGGAAGGGGCUCACCAAACUGUUUUAUAUCUUAGUCACAGACACACAAGCUUCGAAAAUAGAAGGAUUUGUGUUUAUGAUUGAUUGAGGUAACUGAUUAUCCACAGAUAUUUUAAGUGUUGAGACAUUAAAUUGUCAGCUCUAUCAGUUUGAUUGCAGUAAAACAUGAAAACAUUGACUUUUGUCUAGUUAGAGAAAUUUAUUUUUCCCAGACUGACAAUCUUUUAAGUAGAAGCCAGGCAGCUUGCCAGCUUUCCAUGUCAUACAUUGAAGUUUGCAAAUGCUACCCAUAUUUUCAAGUGUUUUUCAAGGUUCAACGAAUGGUGUAUAGGUCUUUUGCAAAUAGUCUUGUAAUAAACAGAUUCCUACAGUACUUCAUUCUUUAAGCCUGAGGAAAGUAUUUACUCAUUUUGAAGAAAAAAAAAAUUAUAGGAGGUUCCACCGUGGUGCAAUGGGAUUGGCAGUCUCUUGGAAGGGCUGGGAUGCAGGUUUGAUCCCCACCCCCCACCCCGGCCUGGCACAGCAGGUUAAAGGAUUCAGCAUUGCCACUGCUGCAGCUUAGGUCACAACUAUGGCUCAGAUCUGAUCCCCGGCCUGGGAACUCCAUAUGCCACAAGGAGGCCAAAAAAGAAAAGAAAAAAAUAUAUAUAUUUAAUUUCUCUGAUUUUCUUUAAGAUACCAUACUCCAACCUAAAAGAAAGAUGUUACAAUCAAGUAAAUUCUACUAAAAUUUGAUUAUCAUUAAAUCGGCCUAUAUCCUAGACCCUUGUGUGCAUACCAUAUGUGUGCAUACUAUUUUACAAAAUAAAAAAUACCUUAUUUGUUAUUGCUUUUUAGAAGACCUGUGCUUUUCAUUAGGCAGAACUGUGAUUCCAGUGUUUAAAACCCUGUCCAUUACAAGAAUCAAAAAUGUUAGAUGUUAUAUAUAGUCAAUCUUUUCCACGAAAUCUGACUGGGAAGUUGUCAUGAGGCCCGAUGACUUAAAUGAACGCACCAAUCGAAAGACAGAUGUAGUCAUUAAUUCCACUGAAACACCAACAUCUCUAUGUUCUCCAAGCAUUUAUCAUGAUCAUUAAAAUGCAGAAUGUUGUAAUGACCAGCAGACCAUUGAGCCAUCAGUAUCUUGAUUUCUACAGACAGCAGUAGAGAGUACCUGGAGGAAAAAAAUCCCUGAACAGCUAAGCAAGGGUACACCAACCAGAACAACUUC